UACGUAGGGGGCAAGCGUUGUCCGGAAUUAUUGGGCGUAAAGCGCGCGCAGGCGGCCAAUUAAGUCUAGUGUUUAAGCCCGGGGCUCAACCCCGGUUCGCACCGGAAACUGGUUGGCUUGAGUGCAGGAGAGGGAAGCGGAAUUCCAUGUGUAGCGGUGAAAUGCGUAGAGAUAUGGAGGAACACCAGUGGCGAAGGCGGCUUCCUGGCCUGUAACUGACGCUGAGGCGCGAAAGCGUGGGGAGCAAACAGG
rnacentral:rRNA from 1 species